rnacentral:rRNA from 1 species
UACGAAGGGGGCUAGCGUUGCUCGGAAUCACUGGGCGUAAAGCGCACGUAGGCGGACUCUUAAGUCAGGGGUGAAAUCCUGGAGCUCAACUCCAGAACUGCCUUUGAUACUGGGAGUCUCGAGUUCGGGGAGAGGUGAGUGGAACUGCGAGUGUAGAGGUGAAAUUCGUAGAUAUUCGCAAGAACACCAGUGGCGAAGGCGGCUCACUGGCCCCGAUACUGACGCUGAGGCACGAAAGCGUGGGGAGCAAACAGG